GUAGGGUGCGAGCGUUAAUCGGAAUUACUGGGCGUAAAGCGUGCGCAGGCGGUGAUGUAAGACCGAUGUGAAAUCCCCGGGCUUAACCUGGGAACUGCAUUGGUGACUGCAUUGCUCGAGUAUGGCAGAGGGGGGUGGAAUUCCACGUGUAGCAGUGAAAUGCGUAGAGAUGUGGAGGAACACCGAUGGCGAAGGCAGCCCCCUGGGCCAAUACUGACGCUCAUGCACGAAAGCGUGGGGAGCAAACAGGAUUAGAUACCCUGGUAGUCCACGCCCUAAACGAUGUCAACUGGUUGUUGGGGAUUCAUUUCCUUAGUAACGUAGCUAACGCGUGAAGUUGACCGCCUGGGGAGUACGGUCGCAAGAUUAAA
rnacentral:rRNA from 1 species